rnacentral:rRNA from 1 species
UCAAGAGAUUAAGCGCAUACGGUGGAUGCCUAGGCGGUAAGAGGCGAAGAAGGACGUGGUAGUCUGCGAUAAGCUCUGACGAGGUGACAAACAUCCGUUAAAGUCAGAGAUUUCCGAAUGGGGGAACCCAGCUGGUGUAAGCCAGUUAUCGUUACCUGAAUACAUAGGGUAACGAGGCAAACGAGGGGAACUGAAACAUCUAAGUACCCUUAGGAAAAGAAAUCAAUUGAGAUUCCGUUAGUAGCGGCGAGCGAAUGCGGAACAGCCCAAAAGUUAAUACAGUGUUAGUGGAAGGCCCUGGGAAGAGCCACCAUAGAGAGUGAUAGUCUCGUACACGAAAGCACAGUAUUGAUGAAUCUGAGUAGGGCGGGACACGUGAUAUCCUGUUUGAAUAUGGGGGGACCAUCCUCCAAGGCUAAAUACUCCUUACCGACCGAUAGUGAACCAGUACCGUGAGGGAAAGGCGAAAAGAACCCCGGAGAGGGGAGUGAAAUAGAUCCUGAAACCGUAUGCGUACAAGCAGUGGAAGCGGACACUUACCUUCGGGUAAAAUGCCGUGACUGCGUACCUUUUGUAUAAUGGGUCAGCGACUUAAUUUCAGUAGCAAGGUUAACCGUAUAGGGGAGCCGUAGGGAAACCGAGUCUUAAUAGGGCGUCAGUUGCUGGUAUUAGACCCGAAACCGGGCGAUCUAGCCAUGAGCAGGUUGAAGGUGCCGUAACAGGCACUGGAGGACCGAACCCACUUAUGUUGAAAAAUGAGGGGAUGACUUGUGGUUAGGAGUGAAAGGCUAAUCAAGCUCGGAGAUAGCUGGUUCUCCUCGAAAGCUAUUUAGGUAGCGCCUCGUAUCUUACUCCAGGGGGUAGAGCACUGUUUCGGCUAGGGGGUCAUACCGACUUACCAACCCGAUGCAAACUCCGAAUACCUGGAAGUACAAUUACGGGAGACACACGGCGGGUGCUAACGUCCGUCGUGGAGAGGGAAACAACCCAGACCGCCAGCUAAGGUCCCAAAAUUAUUGCUCAGUGGGAAACGAUGUGGGAAGGCCCAGACAGCUAGGAGGUUGGCUUAGAAGCAGCCACCCUUUAAAGAAAGCGUAAUAGCUCACUAGUCGAGUCGGCCUGCGCGGAAGAUUUACCGGGGCUAAGCAAUAUACCGAAGCUGCGGAUGCCACACCUUAGGGUGGUGGCAUGGUAGAGGAGCGUUCUGUAGGCUGAUGAAGGUGAACUGUAAGGUUUGCUGGAGGUAUCAGAAGUGCGAAUGCUGACAUAAGUAACGAUAAUGCGGGUGAAAGACCCGCACGCCGAAAACCCAAGGUUUCCUGCUCUACGUUAAUCGGAGCAGGGUGAGUCGGCCCCUAAGGCGAGGCAGAGAUGCGUAGUCGAUGGGAAACUGGUUAAUAUUCCAGUACUUCUAAUAACUGCGAUGGGGAGACGGAGAAAGCUAUAUCAUCCUGGCGACGGUUGUCCAGGUUCAAGCCGGUAGGGAGUUGACUUAGGAAAAUCCGGGUCAACAAUCCCGAGACGUGAUGUCGAGGCACCAAGGUGCUGAAGUGAUAGAUGCUCUGCUUCCAGGAAAAUCCCCUAAGCUUAGGUUGUUAGAAACCGUACCCCAAACCGACACAGGUGGGUGGGAUGAGAAUUCUAAGGCGCUUGAGAGAACUCGGGUUAAGGAACUAGGCAAAUUAGCACCGUAACUUCGGAAGAAGGUGUGCCCUCUAAUGUGAAGGACUUGCUCCGUAAGCAUCUGAGGGUUGCAGUGAACUGGUGGCUGCGACUGUUUAUUAAAAACAUAGCACUCUGCGAACACGAAAGUGGAAGUAUAGGGUGUGACGCCUGCCCGGUGCCGGAAGGUUAAUUGAUGGGGUUAGACUCUUUCUUCGGAGAGAAUCGAAGCUCUUGAUCGAAGCCCCGGUAAACGGCGGCCGUAACUAUAACGGUCCUAAGGUAGCGAAAUUCCUUGUCGGGUAAGUUCCGACC